rnacentral:rRNA from 1 species
UUAAGCGACUAAGCGUACACGGUGGAUGCCCUGGCAGUCAGAGGCGAUGAAGGACGUGCUAAUCUGCGAAAAGCGCCGGCGAGGUGAUAUGAACCUUUGACCCGGCGAUGUCCGAAUGGGGAAACCCAGUGCAAUCCGUUGCACUAUCGUUAACUGAAUACAUAGGUUAACGAGGCGAACCGGGGGAACUGAAACAUCUAAGUACCCCGAGGAAAAGAAAUCAACCGAGAUUCCCCCAGUAGCGGCGAGCGAACGGGGAGCAGCCCGGAGUCUGAAUCAGCUUGUGUGUUAGUGGAACGGUCUGGAAAGUCCGACGGUACAGGGUGAUAGUCCCGUACACGAAAGCACACAUGCUGUGAACUCGAAGAGUAGGGCGGGACACGUGGUAUCCUGUCUGAAUAUGGGGGGACCAUCCUCCAAGGCUAAAUACUCCUGACUGACCGAUAGUGAACCAGUACCGUGAGGGAAAGGCGAAAAGAACCCCGGCGAGGGGAGUGAAAAAGAACCUGAAACCGUGUACGUACAAGCAGUGGGAGCCUCUUUAUGGGGUGACUGCGUACCUUUUGUAUAAUGGGUCAGCGACUUAUAUUCUGUAGCAAGGUUAACCGUAUAGGGGAGCCGAAGGGAAACCGAGUCUUAACUGGGCGUUAAGUUGCAGGGUAUAGACCCGAAACCCGGUGAUCUAGCCAUGGGCAGGUUGAAGGUUGGGUAACACUAACUGGAGGACCGAACCGACUAAUGUUGAAAAAUUAGCGGAUGACCUGUGGCUGGGGGUGAAAGGCCAAUCAAACCGGGAGAUAGCUGGUUCUCCCCGAAAGCUAUUUAGGUAGCGCCUCGUGAACUCAUCUUCGGGGGUAGAGCACUGUUUCGGCUAGGGGGCCAUCCCGGCUUACCAACCCGAUGCAAACUACGAAUACCGAAGAAUGUUAUCACGGGAGACACACGGCGGGUGCUAACGUCCGUCGUGAAGAGGGAAACAACCCAGACCGCCAGCUAAGGUCCCAAAGUCAUGGUUAAGUGGGAAACGAUGUGGGAAGGCACAGACAGCCAGGAUGUUGGCUUAGAAGCAGCCAUCAUUUAAAGAAAGCGUAAUAGCUCACUGGUCGAGUCGGCCUGCGCGGAAGAUGUAACGGGGCUAAACCAUGCACCGAAGCUGCGGCAGCGACACUAUGUGUUGUUGGGUAGGGGAGCGUUCUGUAAGCCGUUGAAGGUGUCCUGUGAGGGGUGCUGGAGGUAUCAGAAGUGCGAAUGCUGACAUAAGUAACGAUAAAGCGGGUGAAAAGCCCGCUCGCCGGAAGACCAAGGGUUCCUGUCCAACGUUAAUCGGGGCAGGGUGAGUCGACCCCUAAGGCGAGGCCGAAAGGCGUAGUCGAUGGGAAACAGGUUAAUAUUCCUGUACUUGGUGUUACUGCGAAGGGGGGACGGAGAAGGCUAUGUCAGCCGGGCGACGGUUGUCCCGGUUUAAGCAUGUAGGCGGAGGUUCCAGGUAAAUCCGGUACCUUAUUAACGCUGAGGUGUGAUGACGAGGCACUACGGUGCUGAAGUGAUAAAUGCCCUGCUUCCAGGAAAAGCCUCUAAGCAUCAGGUAACACGAAAUCGUACCCCAAACCGACACAGGUGGUCAGGUAGAGAAUACCAAGGCGCUUGAGAGAACUCGGGUGAAGGAACUAGGCAAAAUGGUGCCGUAACUUCGGGAGAAGGCACGCUGAUAUGUAGGUGAAGUCCCUGCGGACGGAGCUGAAAUCAGUCGAAGAUACCAGCUGGCUGCAACUGUUUAUUAAAAACACAGCACUGUGCAAACACGAAAGUGGACGUAUACGGUGUGACGCCUGCCCGGUGCCGGAAGGUUAAUUGAUGGGGUUAGCGGCAACGCGAAGCUCUUGAUCGAAGCCCCGGUAAACGGCGGCCGUAACUAUAACGGUCCUAAGGUAGCGAAAUUCCUUGUCGGGUAAGUUCCGACCUGCACGAAUGGCGUAAUGAUGGCCAGGCUGUCUCCACCCGAGACUCAGUGAAAUUGAACUCGCUGUGAAGAUGCAGUGUACCCGCGGCAAGACGGAAAGACCCCGUGAACCUUUACUAUAGCUUGACACUGAACACUGGUCCUUGAUGUGUAGGAUAGGUGGGAGGCUUUGAAGCGUGGACGCCAGUCUGCGUGGAGCCAACCUUGAAAUACCACCCUUUAAUGGCUGGUGUUCUAACGUAGACCCGUAAUCCGGGUUGCGGACAGUGUCUGGUGGGUAGUUUGACUGGGGCGGUCUCCUCCCAAAGAGUAACGGAGGAGCACGAAGGUUGGCUAAUCCUGGUCGGACAUCAGGAGGUUAGUGCAAUGGCAUAAGCCAGCUUGACUGCGAGCGUGACGGCGCGAGCAGGUGCGAAAGCAGGUCAUAGUGAUCCGGUGGUUCUGAAUGGAAGGGCCAUCGCUCAACGGAUAAAAGGUACUCCGGGGAUAACAGGCUGAUACCGCCCAAGAGUUCAUAUCGACGGCGGUGUUUGGCACCUCGAUGUCGGCUCAUCACAUCCUGGGGCUGAAGUAGGUCCCAAGGGUAUGGCUGUUCGCCAUUUAAAGUGGUACGCGAGCUGGGUUUAGAACGUCGUGAGACAGUUCGGUCCCUAUCUGCCGUGGGCGCUGGAGAAUUGAGGGGGGCUGCUCCUAGUACGAGAGGACCGGAGUGGACGCAUCACUGGUGUUCGGGUUGUCAUGCCAAUGGCACUGCCCGGUAGCUAAAUGCGGAAGAGAUAAGUGCUGAAAGCAUCUAAGCACGAAACUUGCCCCGAGAUGAGUUCUCCCUGAGAC